ACCCCCGUCUAUUGAUCGAUCGCCGGCUUGGCUCAACAUGGCACCGAGGUGAUAAACGCGCUCGGUCCGACCCUCGGUGCCUUUCAGGAAGGGCCGGGAUUUCUCACGAAAACCUUUAUAUUUCUCCAGCAUCCACGCAAAGAAGAAAUCACCACAAGAAUGUUAUGGGGAAGCACUCCCCACACGGGGGUGGCAGCUUCACAAUAUUGAGGUAUUGGCAGCGCUAAUCCGGCUCAGUGCUCUCAUUUUUCGGAGGUUGUCAGUUAAGAGCUACCACUUCAAGUUGUUACGACGAUUGGCAAAUGGUUGCCGUAGCAGCUUCUACCCCAGCAGGUUUACGAGGAGAGCCGGCCCUGCAAAAUGCAGGACCGAAAGCGCUGUCAAAACACGAUGCAACCAGAAACUCUCACCGCUACUCCAUCACAAGGAGAUCUAUUUAUUCGAUCAGUUGAAGGAGGAUGAGAUCGACGUGAGAUUAAAUGCCUCUUCAAGGAUUGCUUCGUGCAGUCGAAACAGUCAACUACUCGCGGAGAAGAGGACUCGCAAGUUGGACGAACUUUUAAUCGCGAAAUAAAUAAUUAAUGAAAUGCGCAAGUUACCGUUGUACUCCUUGGAAUGCGGAUCGUGCGGCAAGAAACGUACGAAUGCUGCGGCGAAAAUAAUUGAGCUUCUGGCUAAAAACCUUUGAAACCUUGGAAGGGUAAACUGAUGACGUAACAGUGAUGUGAUAUGAAUGGAAUGUGUGUAGGAACAUAAAAAUGGAAACGAAUAUGCAUAUCUUACACAAGAGUAAGUUAAAAAAUGUAUAUUACGUCAGUUGAUAAAAACAAUGAAAGUACACUGAAGAUUUAGAUAUUUGUAUUCGUAAGAAAUUUGUUUUACACAUUUUUUAUACGUAAACGUAUCAUCUACAAUAUUAUCACAAUAUAGAUAAUGAUAGUGUGCGAAAAACUAAUAAAAAUAAUCUGUUUUAUUGAAAGAAUACAUUAUUAUUUGAAUAAUUUUUAUGUAUGUAAGUAAUAAUAUUUUAAUUUUGUACGUUUGACGUUACAUAACUCUAUUCUCUCAGAAUAUAGAACAUAAAGUUACU